rnacentral:rRNA from 1 species
AUUGAACGCUGGCGGCAUGCUUUACACAUGCAAGUCGAACGGCAGCGCGGGCUUCGGCCUGGCGGCGAGUGGCGAACGGGUGAGUAAUGCAUCGGAACGUGCCCAGUAGUGGGGGAUAGCCCGGCGAAAGCCGGAUUAAUACCGCAUACGACCUGAGGGUGAAAGCGGGGGACCGAAAGGCCUCGCGCUAUUGGAGCGGCCGAUGUCGGAUUAGCUAGUUGGUGGGGUAAAGGCUUACCAAGGCGACGAUCCGUAGCUGGUCUGAGGGGACGACCAGCCACACUGGGACUGAGACACGGCCCAGACUCCUACGGGAGGCAGCAGUGGGGAAUUUUGGACAAUGGGGGGAACCCUGAUCCAGCCAUGCCGCGUGCGGGAAGAAGGCCUUCGGGUUGUAAACCGCUUUUGUUCGGGAAGAAAUCCUCUGGGCUAAUACCCCGGGGGGAUGACGGUACCGGAAGAAUAAGCACCGGCUAACUACGUG